AUUUUUCAUGUUUGUGUGCAAGCAUUUUAAUUUCUUAAAGUGUUAAAGGGUAGUUGUACUAAGCCCAAAAUAAAUCUAUAUCCAGAGUCUCCCUUUCAUUGUCCAUUCCAGUAGCCCACAUGAGUGAAAUGAAAUAAGCUGAGUUUUUAUUCAAGUAACAAGUUAACAGAUAACAUAGUUAGUUCCCAUAGAGCAGUCAGUUAGUUGGUUAGCAGUUAAUUAGAUGCUAGGCUAAUCUAUAGCAGACUGGUAGGGGCCAAAUAGCUGACAGGUCCCAUAGGGGCCAAGGUAAACUAGACUAGGAAUGAGUGUUUGCAGCUGGGUAGGGUGGCUGAGUAGAGGCUAAUAGGACUGCCAGAAUGAGGAGAUAGCCCAGCCAUUAAAGGCAGCCCCUUAAAAUUUCCGGCUGGAAAGGAAGGAAAUUAAACUACCUAAAUUUUAGAAGCUAGCAAGGUAAGCCAAUUUAACCUCUUUCCAUUCUUUUCCCGUUUCAUUGUUGAUAACAAAGUGGGCUGUUAGUGGCUAGAUAACUUGUUAUGGUUGUUAUAUUGAAUUAGUUUAUAUGAUGACUGUUUUAAUGCUGUGUUGGAACUGUUAUGUUGUUGUGCUGUUCUUGUGGUUGUUUUAAGCCAUAAGGCUGGGGUCAAUGAGCUAAGAAGAUAUGUACCAUAUGUGUAUAUAAAGACUGCACACUACAUGCUUGAUAAAUUGCUAAGAUGAAAACUGAUAUGAUUCUAUGUAUACUAACUGUGAUGUAGAGGCUAAGAGGUUGUCUAAUAACAUAUAUUGGAACAUUAAUGUAUCAAGCAUGCUUAAAGAGUUGCAUAUGCAUAUUGUGAUUAGUUGGUUAGUAUUCAAGGUUAUGAUGUGAUAAAACGAACAUGAGGUAACAAAAAAGGGGCUGCUAUAUGGUGUUGUUAUUGAUAUUAUGGUAUCUGUGUUGUUGUAAAUAUAGGUUUAUAUAAAGACAUUAAGGAUUUAAAGGCCAAAAGGCUGGUAAAGAGCAAAGACUUUAUUUGCUUAUCAAGUUUUAGACCUCUAUAAAGCCUUGGCUCUUCUCUUCUCUCUAAAAACUUUCCUAGGCCCCGAUCACUUCCCUCUUCCACCCCUGUUGUGCCAUCCAAGUCCACCCAAGCUCUUUCUUCCCAAUUUGAAAUUCCAUUCUAAGAUCAGCUACUCAAGAAAGUGUAGCCAAGAAUCAAACACUAAAACCAAGCAAGGAAGGUAAUCAAAUUAUCUUUAUUAUACUACUAUGAAGUUAGUUAGUUGUUGAAGCAAAAACAGUUAAUAACUCAUGUGGCUUAAUUAAUUUAACUGAUAGAUGGGCUAUGAUCAUAUGGAUUAUCAAUGGAAAUAGAUAUAUUGCAUAUUGAUAUGUUACAAAAGAAAACUUUGAAAAGUUAGUAAACUAGUUUAUGUAAUAGCUAUAUACAUGUACGGUUUUCUUUGUGUAUUGGUUAUUGUGGACUGAAGUUAGAGCCAAGGAGUAUAGGAUUGGUUGUGCGGAGGAAUAAGGUGGAACAAAUUGGGUUAGAACAUAAGCGAAUAGCUAUGAAAUCUGCGUUUAGAAAUAACGUGCACCACGUGUUCGUUAAAGUCCCCUAAGGACUGUUUUUGUUAAAAAUGAAGAAUUAAGCGAAGCCGAGGCUAAGGCUACGUAGGUAUACACUAUUUUAAUUAAUUAAAUAGAUUGGACAAGUUAAACUAAGUUUAAAAACUGUCUUGUGAUAGAUGAAACAAAUGAAGUUUGGGUGAAGAUUAGUAUGUCAGGCUGCUUUGGGUUAACUGUAUCGGCUAGUUAGACUUGCUGGAAAACUAUAAUUUUCUGGGGUCUUGUAGUGUGCAAUCCCAGCUAUUCGUAGCCUCCAGAACAGACUAAUUCCGACUUCGGAGGAGGGAGUUAUGGCAUUCUAAAGUGGCUGUGGCGAAUCUGUCCAAAAUCUGGAAAUCGGAUUCUGACCAGCCCCUUGCGUGGAUUUUCUGGAAUUAUGGGUGAAGAAUUUGGAAAAGGUUAUUGAAUAAGAGUUGUAGCCCCAGAAUUUAGCUUCACGUGGGCUCAAGAAUCGCUCAAAAAUGUUUUGAAACGAAAAAGUUAUGACUGUUUUAGCGAGAGAGGUUAAAGCUGGAAAAAAAGUUAAAAACUGUUAUGAUUGCGCAUUUUUAAGUUCUGUUUUGAACUAAAGCUAGAGAUCUUACAUUUAGAUAUUUUAAACCUUAAACAUAUGGUAUAUAGUAGGUUCAUGUUAUAAUAAUGCAUAUACUUGAUGUUUGGAACUGUUUUGGUGAAAUGAUGCUAAUUCAUGCUUUUAUAAUGCUUAGAUAAAGGCUGUUUUGGGUAUGGAAAGAUUGAACUCAGUUUUCAAACAUGCUAGAGUAUGUGCUUAUGAGUUUUCAUGGUGAUUUAAGGUUUAUAGGAAUGCUUAAAGACCAUAUGUGUUCUAUUGUGGACUGUUGGAGAUUUGGUAGCCAAAACUGUGUCUAAAAGGGACUGUUAUGGCCAACUUGUGUGGCUGGUGUUGUUAGACAGUGAGGAGUACAUACAUUGCCUAUAGAUAACUUGUAAAAAUGGUUCCCUAAGUUAGUUAAGGUCUACAAGGUGUAUUGUGCAAUGUCAUGCUUAAAAAUCCAUAAAAGUAAGCUUUAAAGAGCAAUUAGCACCUAAAUUAAGAAAUACCAUUUCUGGACCAUGUAGGCAAGUUUCAAUAGUCAUAAUAGGACAUAAGAAAGCUACACAAACUAAAGGAACAAAUCCUAAGCCAUUUUGAGCAUGAGACUUCUUAAAAAAAUCACAUUUUAAAGCCAAAAAUGGACUGUUUUGGACAAUUCAUAGUAUCUGACCUUAAAGGACUGUUAUGAGCAGAUACAAAGUUGCUCAUACAUGCUAGUAAUGAUUCCCAAACAUGGCCAUAACUAAAGCUAACAAGAAAACCAAGUUAAGAUCCAUUUUUCAAGCCUAAAGUGAGCUUUGAUAGGUCAAAAUGGGCUAGAUGAUUAAAUAAGGUGUGGUGAUGCUAAAAGUAACCUUAAGUAACUUAAAUAUACAUUCCUAGACUAUCCUAGUGGCCAGAACUGGAAAAAUUUGGAAAAAGUACAAAAUCCGUUUUGUAAAAAAGUAAGAAAAUUGCUAAGUUUGAGCUCUGUUUUGGGGAGCUUAAUGGGCAUGAACAAGAAAACUAAACCUUGAUUAAAAUACCUUGUAGUAUGGUCUAGAAGUUGGUCCAAGUGGUUAAGCUCUUGGCUUAACCAAGGAGUCUAAACAAAUCACCAAACUAGCAUGAAAAAUCAUCCUAACUGCAGUUUUGAAAAUUUUUCGUAGUGUAAAAUUUGAGAUUUUCCAUUUAGCCUAGAACUCAAUUUGAACACCUUAGACAAGUGAGUUAGAGUUAUGCUAGGCUAUUCCAAGUGUUGGAAUGCUAAUGUAUACAAGAACUUGAGAAGUUAGUGUGUAAAAGCGUGAAAAAGCUAGGUUUAAAGGGUCUAAACCCAAUCUAUGCUUAGAAAACCUAAAGGAAUGCUAAAACUAGUUCUAAAUAGAUAUAAUUCAAGUGUUGGAAUGAACCAAAGUGGCUAGAAGUGAAAUUGGCAAGAAUUGACCAAAACUAGUAAACUCAAAAUGUGAAUAAUGGCCUAGCUAAGACAUUUCUUUCAAGAAGCAUAAGAGGCUUACUUGGGAACCUAAACAAAAAAAAAAAUACUUUGGUAUAUAGGCUAGAAGUAUGUUCAGAGUCCUUGUCCAAAAGCCUAAUACAAAAGUUCCUAAAAAUCAUCAAAGUGGUCUUGAGAUUCAUGAAAAAUGCAGUUGCCUUCAAGACUGUUGAAAACAGCCAAUUUAAGGCUUGUUUUUGAAUUGCUUAACUUUUUGGUUUCUAUGACUUGAACCAUGGAUAAAAUACAUUGCUAUGAGGUCUAAAAGAUUGCAUAAAUGAGAAACCUUUUUUUAUGCGUAAAAAGGUUAAACGGACAAAGUUUUCAAAGGAAACUAAGAUGGUUUUAGGAUGAGAACAAAAUAUUAGAGUUUAAAUAAACUAAUAAUCAUGGAUUAAAUAUAUGCAUGCAUGUUUUGUGACAUAGUUGGUUAUCUAAUGUGUGUAUAUAUGUAAACACAGUUGUGUAGGAUUUGUGGAGAGAAGCUAAGUUAAAUUUUUCGGUAAUCUCCAAUUAAGGCAAGUUUCUCAGUUUAUUUAUGUGGACUUAUAAUUGCUAUAGAUAACUGUUAGCAUGAUUUAUGUUUAUAAGUAUGUAAUACCUAUGAAUUGCAUUAUUUGCUAUGUGAAUGAUGAAUGUCAAAUUAUGACUAAUUAUUGAAUUGAGUCGGGGAACUCAAUAUAUAUGUGCAAUGAAUGACAUGUAUAGGACAUGUGUAGUAUGUUAUGGUAUACAUUACCAGCAGGACAUAAAUGUGAUAAUGCAUUGGUAAUAUGCUUGAACACCAAGAAUAUAAAUGCAUGAACUGAAUGUGAAACCUAUGUGCUAUGUGAUGCAUGAUAGACUGUUAGACUUGUUGGGCCGUCGUGCUCAAUCUUGCUUAAUUUGCAGGUUAAAGCUAUGAGGCGAUCUAUCGUGAGUAGGAGCGCAUGAAAAGAAGACUAGUGAUUUAAUUGAGAUUGUGUUGAACCAUUUGAUGGUAUUUUCAUGUGUAAAUCACAGACGUGUAAAUUUUUGAAUUANNNNNNNNNNNNNNNNNNNNNNNNNNNNNNNNNNNNNNNNNNNNNNNNNNNNNNNNNNNNNNNNNNNNNNNNNNNNNNNNNNNNNNNNNNNNNNNNNNNNAGAAGAAUUGUAAAGGUUGCGAUUCAGGGAAUGAAUGAAUGGAAAGAAAGAAGAAAAAAAAAUUCCGCCUUUUUAGCUAUUUUAACAUUGAAUAAUGUUUUAAAGCUAGAACAAGAUAGUAUUAACGCACAAGAUCGGGAAGGAAAAUAGUCCCGAUUUUGGGGGCGUUACAUCGAUGCCAUUUGAAUCGGCUAGACACAGAUUCAGAUAUUACUUUUAUAUUAAACUUUUGAAUUGUCCAACUAAAUUGAUUGAGCUAGUAUGGAUUUCAGACUAUAUAUGAACAUCCCUAAAUUGGGACAAGAUGUUCUAUUUGCUAAAGACAAAUGAUGAAUGCAAAUGUCGUUCAGAUUUAUAUUGCGUCCUAGGGACGGCAAAGAGGAACUAAAAGAAAUUGUUCUGUCAAGAUAGUGUUGAUCAACAAAGAAAAUGGAAAUUCUGUUUGCGCUAAAUAGCGAUGGAAAUGAACGUAAAUGUCGUUCAAAUUUAUAUUGCGUCCUGGGGACGUUAAAGAGGGACUGAAAAAGUGUUCCGCUAAAAUAUUAUUGAUCAACAUAGGGUGUAAACAGGUUGAUCACCUAUGCCCAUAAGAUAUGUCGGUUUACAAAUGAAUUUCUAUUAAAAUCUUUUCAGAAACAAAGUUUAUUUAUGACCUUUAUCAUGAUACAAAAAGCUCUUCCUAAGCGAAUCUGUUGAAUCCCUGAGUUAUUUAUACUGCUUCACAAUUAUUAAUCAAUUGUGGAGAAUUUCUAUUUUGGAGAUUGGGUAUAGAAAGAAUGAACUUCCUUAAGAGGAAGUAGGUCAUAGAAUACGACGAUGGUUUAUGAAUCCUUGAAGAAGGAAAAAGUAGAGUACUGAGGAAUAAAGAGAUUUUCGCAUAACAAAGUAGACACUGGUGAUGUGUCAGAAAGUUAAACACUGAUGUUGUGUCAUAGACAUGGGUGAUAUGUCAUAAGAAGCUAGACACUAGUAAUGUGUCAUAACAAAAAUAAUCACAGAUGGUGUUAGAUAAUAAGAACAGACAUAUAUAUGGGAUGUCGAAAUGAAGAUAUAGAUGAUGUCAAAAAUAGAUAAGACAUUGAUAGUGAUAAAAGGAAGUAGACUUCGGAGAGUAGGACUGAGAAAAAAACGGGUAUAACCGAAUUAUCGAACCAAACCGAAAUAAUUUAACCGAUUUUUUUUGAUAAUUUGGUUAUUUUUAACAUUUCGGUUAUAUCCAAAAUUAUUUAAGGUUUUCGGUUAGUUUAUACGGGUUUCACUUUCAGCUUAACCGAAUAACCGAACAAAGCCUUGCGCACAACACUUAAAAUAAUAAUAUAACUAAUGACUCAGCACUCAGCCCACUACUAGCCCUAGCCCAGACUCUGAAGUCGGAACUUUCAAUUCCCAAACCUAGAUCUCGAACUCUCAGGUCUCAAUCUCUCAUCCCAAACCCAGAUCUCGAACUCGGAAGUCGGAACCCUGCUUCUUCUCGAACUCGAAACUCGGAACCCUGCUUCUUUUCUUUUCUCUGGUGAGUCCUCCUCCUUUUCUUCUCGUCUUCUCUUCUUUUGCUGCAACUUCUUCGUCUCUUUUCUCUCGAUCUCUCAUCCAGUCUGACAUCUUCAAUUCUUUGAAAGUACUAAUUUAUAUAGGUUGGUUUGUUUUCUUCGAAGUACUAAUUUUAUAUGUUACAUAUUUAGCUUUUGAAAGUGCUGCCACGGACUUCCAGAUUUUGUUCCAAUUGGCAAUUGCAUAUCCAUGAUAUGGUUGACUAGUUAUAUAACUUGAUUGACCUAUUUACAGUUCAUGUUAAUAUGCCUACUUUACUACUUUUUUGUGGCGUAAUUUGGUCGAUGGAGUUAUUUAUCUCAUAGAAUAAAUUACAUAGUACUGGGGUCUUGUUUCUGGGACUGCUACUAGUUUUGUUCUAACCCCUUUCCCGUUGUGAGUUUGUAUUUCCUCCUUAUUUGAGGCUAGCUGUUCUUGCAAUAUUUUCACCCAUUAGCUCUAGUUUACUAGAUAUUGUAAUUGAGAUAUUAUUGAUGUUGGUUAUGAAAUUCAUUCGUACUUAUAAUGAUAUCCCUCAAUAGUAAGGACUUUAAAAAAUAAAAUAAAAUACCCUUUGAGUGGUUUUUCGAUAUUCCUGCANNNNNNNNNNNNNNNNNNNNNNNNNNNNNNNNNNNNNNNNNNNNNNNNNNNNNNNNNNNNNNNNNNNNNNNNNNNNNNNNNNNNNNNNNNNNNNNNNNNNNNNNNNNNNNNNNNNNNNNNNNNNNNNNNNNNNNNNNNNNNNNNNNNNNNNNNNNNNNNNNNNNNNNNNNNNNNNNNNNNNNNNNNNNNNNNNNNNNNNNNNNNNNNNNNNNNNNNNNNNNNNNNNNNNNNNNNNNNNNNNNNNNNNNNNNNNNNNNNNNNNNNNNNNNNNNNNNNNAUAUAUAUAUAUAUAUAUAUAUAUAUAUAUAUAUAUUGUGGAUGAUUGUUACUUGCAGUCUUUACUAUAAAUUAAUUAAAUGAUGUAUAAUCCACAGAAAAAACUGCCUCACAUUAAAAAGUAUGAAAUAUAUACAAACCAUAUAUAAAAAGUAUGAAAUUAUUUAACUUGUGAAUGGUAAUUCUGCUUCUGUGUUAAAUAACUAUUUUGCACAUUUAACCAUUUGAUGGUUCUGUCUUUCUUCUCAAUGAAGACAGAACCAUUGCUGGUUUGCAGCUGGGCAUUAUUUUACAUUCAAACCAUGCCUUUUGGUAUCUUGCCCUAUCUAGGCUCGCAGGAGGGAGUCAUUUAGGUGUUGAAAAAGGUUGAAAAUUAUCAUUUUUUAGUUAAUAAUUCAUUGCAAGAAUGGAUUUGUGCCUUAACUUGAGGAAUGAAGCGGAAUUGAAUUUUCUUGCAGUCUCCAGGUUCCUUGUCAAUCUCUUUCUCCCCAUUUUGAAAAGAUUUAUUCUCAAAAAGGUUGUAAUUUGCUUGGAGUUCCGAAUUGGAUCUCCGGGGUGUGUACUCAAUUGUUUGUGAGUUGUAAAGUAAAAUCUUGUGAAGCCUACUACAACCUUGUUUUGUUGCUUUGAUUACUAAGCAUGGGCAAUUAUACUCAUGCGGUAGCGGUAGCGGUAGCGGUAGUAGUGGUAGCAAGUAUAUAUAUAUAUUCAUGAUUAGGUUUGGUUCGCCUCAACACAUUGCGACUUCCUUUUCUUUUCUUUUUUCUGGUUGUUCAUUUGAAAGCAAAGCAACACGAGGAGAGUGCAACAGUGCUCAAAUUAAUUAUAAUAUGCCAUCGGAAGAUGAAUGCAACAUUACUAAUUUAUUAAUGUGUCAUCUGUACCAACUACAGUACUUUUAUUUAUUAUAAUUCUCCCUUCUACCUACAAAAAGGUUUCAAGUAAGUAAGUGAGAGAUCCCCAUUCUGAUGCUCGUGGAUCAAACGGUGGUGGUUCAGCAGCAGCAGCUAAGUAGAAGCCUGUUAAACUCCCUAUCUACAGCUCCCACCUCCUUUCUCUCAUCUCCUCCUCUCCAACAUCAAGGUUAUUUUUUCUUACUGUUUUAUCAAUCAAUCAAUCAAUCAGCGCAGCCACCAAUGGAAGAAGUGUAGUCCCAAGGCAAGUGGAAAUUGUUUGAGCACAGGCAGAGGCAAGGCAGCGAGGGAUUGGCUCAAGCAUUAAUGUUGCUGCUGCAGCUGCUACUACCAUAAACGGGAUGAUUGUGAACAAGGUUGCUGUCAUCCUCUCUUGCAUUGGGUAAUAGGUGGGAGAAUUGUUCCUAGUGCUGAUGAUGAAUACAAAGGCGAAUGAAUAUGGCUCGACUGGAAUUGGGUUGUAUCCCAAUACAGCUAGAUUUAGAUUUCUUAAUUGUGCAAAAACCAAGCGAUGUACUCAUCAUUGUUUUACUUUUCCUUUAAAUACGUUUUUCUGCAUUUGAAUGUUCAUCAACCUACCAAACACAUUUUAUUCAUUGCAACUGAUGUAGUUUUUUUUUCUUAUUAUUCAUUGCAGUUUGGAACUGUUGAGACUGAGACUAUGAGAAUUUAGGAUUUAGACUUGUUGGCUGUUACUGUUUGGACUUGGCUCAGUUGGCACUUCUCCCGACUCCUGUAGAAUGUAGUCACUGCUGUUGUUGUUUAUUGCAUGUUGGCUCAGUUGUGUUGUUGCUGUUGAUCUAAGUAUCAUUCAUGUUUUUAUAAUAUGUCUUGACACAGACACUUGAUUGCUGCUGCCUGCUGUUAAUCUUUAGACUUGUUGAUUGCUGUUGUUAAUCUUUAGACUUAAUAUCACUGUGUAUUGUUAAGUUAGGCAGCGUUGUUGUGAACUAUUAAAUUCAGUUAUUAACCGAAUAAUUAAUUCGGUUAUUCGGUUAUCAUAUAUUUCGGUUAGUUGUUCGGAUAUUCAAAACAGUGUAAUUUCGGUUUUCGGUUAUAACCGAAAUGUUUAUUCGGUUCAGAUAAUAACUGAAUGCUCACUCCUACCAGAGAGGGUCAAAAGGUGAAAGGAUAAGUCAGAAAAUUUUAUGACCUUUCAC
rnacentral:lncRNA from 1 species